GAUGAACGCUGGCGGCGUGCCUAAUACAUGCAAGUCGAGCGAACGGACGAGAAGCUUGCUUCUCUGAUGUUAGCGGCGGACGGGUGAGUAACACGUGGAUAACCUACCUAUAAGACUGGGAUAACUUCGGGAAACCGGAGCUAAUACCGGAUAAUAUUUUGAACCGCAUGGUUCAAAAGUGAAAGACGGUCUUGCUGUCACUUAUAGAUGGAUCCGCGCUGCAUUAGCUAGUUGGUAAGGUAACGGCUUACCAAGGCAACGAUGCAUAGCCGACCUGAGAGGGUGAUCGGCCACACUGGAACUGAGACACGGUCCAGACUCCUACGGGAGGCAGCAGUAGGGAAUCUUCCGCAAUGGGCGAAAGCCUGACGGAGCAACGCCGCGUGAGUGAUGAAGGUCUUCGGAUCGUAAAACUCUGUUAUUAGGGAAGAACAUAUGUGUGAGUAACUGUGCACAUCUUGACGGUACCUAAACAGAAAGCCACGGCUAACUACGUG
rnacentral:rRNA from 1 species